CUCCUACGGGAGGCAGCAGUAAGGAAUAUUGGUCAAUGGACGAAAGUCUGAACCAGCCAUGCCGCGUGAAGGAUGAAGGCCCUCUGGGUUGUAAACUUCUUUUAUCUGGGACGAAAAAAGGGGAAUUACUUUCCCACUUGACGGUACCAGAGGAAUAAGCACCGGCUAACUCCGUGCCAGCAGCCGCGGUAAUAC
rnacentral:rRNA from 1 species